AGUGAACGCUGGCGGUAGGCCUAACACAUGCAAGUCGAACGGCAGCACAGUAAGAGCUUGCUCUUACGGGUGGCGAGUGGCGGACGGGUGAGGAAUACAUCGGAAUCUACUUUUUCGUGGGGGAUAACGUAGGGAAACUUACGCUAAUACCGCAUACGACCUACGGGUGAAAGCAGGGGAUCUUCGGACCUUGCGCGAUUGAAUGAGCCGAUGUCGGAUUAGCUAGUUGGCGGGGUAAAGGCCCACCAAGGCGACGAUCCGUAGCUGGUCUGAGAGGAUGAUCAGCCACACUGGAACUGAGACACUGUCCAGACUCCUACGGGAGGCAGAAGUGGGGAAUAUUGGACAAUGGGCGCAAGCCUGAUCCAGCCAUACCGCGUGGGUGAAGAAGGCAUUCGGGUUGUAAAGCCCUUUUGUUGGGAAAGAAAAGCAGAAGGUUAAUACCCCGCUGUUCUGACGGUACCCAAAGAAUAAGCACCGGCUAACUUCGUG
rnacentral:rRNA from 1 species